rnacentral:rRNA from 1 species
AACGCUAGCUACAGGCUUAACACAUGCAAGUCGCGGGGCAGCAGGAAUUUUGCUUGCAAAAUUUGCUGGCGACCGGCGCACGGGUGAGUAACGCGUAUCCAACCUAGCCUUUACCACGGUAUAGCCCGGCGAAAGUCGGAUUAAUCCCGUAUGUAUUCCGAUGAUGACAUCAGAUUUGGAACAAAGGUUUAGCGGUAAGGGAUGGGGAUGCGUCCGAUUAGCUUGUUGGUGAGGUAACGGCUCACCAAGGCGACGAUCGGUAGGGGUUCUGAGAGGAAGGUCCCCCACACUGGAACUGAGACACGGUCCAGACUCCUACGGGAGGCAGCAGUGAGGAAUAUUGGUCAAUGGGCGCAAGCCUGAACCAGCCAAGUAGCGUGCAGGAAGACGGCCCUAUGGGUUGUAAACUGCUUUUAUGCGGGGAUAACGUUCGCUACGUGUAGCGUUUUGCAGGUACCGCAUGAAUAAGGACCGGCUAAUUCCGUGCCAGCAGCCGCGGUAAUACGGAAGGUCCAGGCGUUAUCCGGAUUUAUUGGGUUUAAAGGGAGCGUAGGCUGUUGAUUAAGCGUGCUGUGAAAUGUAGGCGCCCAACGUCUGCACUGCAGCGCGAACUGGUUGUCUUGAGUACGCUGAAAGUGGGCGGAAUUUGUGGUGUAGCGGUGAAAUGCUUAGAUAUCACGAAGAACUCCGAUUGCGAAGGCAGCCCACUGUGGCGUUACUGACGCUGAUGCUCGAAAGUGCGGGUAUCGAACAGGAUUAGAUACCCUGGUAGUCCGCACGGGAAUCGAUGGAUGCCCGCUGUGUGUGCGUUUUAGU